rnacentral:pre_miRNA from 2 species
GAUGUACUCCCUCCGUCCCAAAUUUUUUGUCUUAAGUUUGUCUAGAAAUGGAUGUAUCAAAAUACUAAAACAAUAUAAGACAAGAGUUUUAGGACGGAGGGAGUAAUAA